GAUGAACGCUGGCGGCGUGCCUAACACAUGCAAGUCGAGCGAACAGACGAUGAGCUUGCUCCUCUGACGUUAGCGGCGGACGGGUGAGUAACACGUGGAUAACCUACCUAUAAGACUGGGAUAACUUCGGGAAACCGGAGCUAAUACCGGAGAAUAUAUUGAACCGCAGGGUUCAAUAGUGAAAGACGGUGGUGCGGUCACGUAUAGAUGGAUCCGCGCCGCAUUAGCUAGUUGGGAAGGUAACGGGCUACCAAGGCAAGGAGGCGUAGCCGACGUGAGAGGGUGGUAGGCGACCCUGGAGCUGAGCCGCGGUCAAGACUCCUACGGGAGGCAGCAGUAGGGAAUCUUCCGCAAUAGGCGAGAGCCUGACGGAGCAGCGCGGCGUGAGUGAUGAAGGUCUUCGGAGCGUAAAGCUCUGUUAUUAGGGAAGAACAAAUGUGUCAGUAACUAUGCACGUAUUGACGGUACCUAAUCAGAAAGCCCCGGCUAACUACGUG
rnacentral:rRNA from 1 species